GUGUAGUUUUUUAUUUUUUAAUUUCUUUUUUUAGUAUUUGGUAUUGUGGAAGAAAUGAGGUAUGCUACUGGACAGCAUUAAUGAAAUUUGUCAUAGAAUUUCCUUGUUCAUUUAAGAGUUUUAUUUCUUCAGAUAGGUGGCCAUUUAAGCAGUUCAGUCAUGGGAUGCAAGAAAGAUGACACAUUUGAAAGGCUGAAAUACCUGCCCAGAGCCUCCGUUCUCUCUAGAACACAUCUGACAAGAUUGAUGGAAAAAACUUGGACAUGUCCUGUGCUCUAGAUUUUGGCAGUAUUUAGUUGCACAUGCUUACAGUAACAGAAGAAAUAGUUUACUAACUGCCAUUCUUUCCCAUCUGAAAAAAGUGGUCUGAGAAGGGUGAAAAGGAGUAGCUGCUAAGAGAAAUUCUCAUCCAUGUAAUAAAUUUCCAACGAAUGUGCCUGAACUCUUGGGAGUUCAAACCACCUUAAAGGGCCAAGCAACGCUCAGAAGCAGUGCUCAUAGCAAAAGGUAUCCAGUUUCUAUUUAUUUCCCUUUUAAAAAGAAGCUCACCUUCUCUCACUUCUAUUUUCUUCUCUCCUCCUGUUUUUCUUAUUCCUUCCUGUUUCAGUAUGUUAAAAUAAGGCAGUUCUCAAGGUGGCCAGGGUUAGUAUAAAACGCCAACUGCUUUUCAACAGUUACUGUUAUAUUGCUGCUUAGCAGACUUGAAUUAAUUGUAAGGCAUGGUGAACCUUUUCUUGAUAGUCCUAAUGUGUUAGAAAAGAGAGAAGCAGUGGUCUCAGUUUACUCUGAGUGAUGAUAGAGAUUGGGAUUAUUUGACACCAAAUCUGUUCUCUGCUUUUUAGAUAGACUGGAGUAACAGAGAGGGCAGUGGUCUUCCUUGAAGAAACUCUCACUGUUGAAGGGUAGUUGAUGAUAAGUUUUUAAUAUAGCUGUACUGUUGAUCAAGAAAAGCAUGUAUUUGUUGGUCCCUCUGUAGAGGGCUGUGGGAUAGCACAGAGCUUGGAACCAGGUUCAGUCGUGUCUGGGUCUAGGUUCUUGGCUCUGACUUCUGGAUCACUUCAUCAUCCUUAGUUUUGAUUCUUCCUUCUAUGCUGGAAAUCAGAUGUUCAGAUAUUCUGAAGCUAUGCCAUAUCGUGAGCUUGUACUUCUUCUA
rnacentral:lncRNA from 1 species